rnacentral:rRNA from 1 species
UACGAAGGGUGCAAGCGUUGUCCGGAAUUAUUGGGCGUAAAGAGCUCGUAGGCGGUCUGUCGCGUCUGCUGUGAAAACCUAGGGCUUAACUCUGGGCGUGCAGUGGGUACGGGCAGGCUAGAGUGCGGUAGGGGAGACUGGAAUUCCUGGUGUAGCGGUGAAAUGCGCAGAUAUCAGGAGGAACACCGGUGGCGAAGACGGGACUCUGGGCCGAUACUGACGCUGAGGAGCGAAAGCGUGGGGAGCGAACAGG